AUGAACGCUAGCUACAGGCUUAACACAUGCAAGUCGAACGCGAAAGGGACUUCGGUCCUGAGUAAAGUGGCGCACGGGUGAGUAACGCGUAGAUAACCUGUCUUCAUGUCUGGAAUAAUACGCCGAAAGGGGUACUAAUACCGGAUAUUCUUGCUUUUUCAUAAGUUAUGCAAGCAAAGGUGGCCUCUGCAUAUGCUACUGCAUGAAGAGGGGUCUGCGUACCAUUAGCUAGUAGGUGGGGUAAUGGCCUACCUAGGCGACGAUGGUUAGCGGGUCUGAGAGGAUGAUCCGCCACACUGGCACUGGAACACGGGCCAGACUCCUACGGGAGGCAGCAGUGAGGAAUAUUGCGCAAUGGGGGAAACCCUGACGCAGCGACGCCGCGUGAGUGAAGGAAGGCCUUCGGGUCGUAAAGCUCUGUCAAGAGGAAAGAAGUGUACAAUGGCUAAUACCUGUUGUAUUUGACGGUACCUCUAAAGGAAGCACCGGCUAACUCCGUGCCAGCCGCUGC
rnacentral:rRNA from 1 species